GGCUAAAUAACAUAAUGGUUAAUGUAUUGAAUUGCAAAUUCAAUGAUAGUGGUUCGAUUCCACUUUUAGCCU
rnacentral:tRNA from 1 species